rnacentral:rRNA from 1 species
AUACGAAGGGUGCUAGCGUUGUUCGGAAUUACUAGGCGUAAAGAGCAUGUAGGCGGAUAGAUUAGUCAGAGGUGAAAGCCCCGAGCUCAACUCGGGAACUGCCUUUGAUACUGUUUAUCUAGAGACCGAGAGAGGUGAGUGGAAUUCUCAGUGUAGAGGUGAAAUUCGUAGAUAUUGGGAAGAACACCAGUGGCGAAGGCGGCUCACUGGCUCGGAACUGACGCUGAGAUGCGAAAGCGUGGGGAGCGAACAGGAUUAGAUACCCUAGUAGUCC